rnacentral:lncRNA from 1 species
CAAUAUUAGCUCUGGUUCUCCCCUCCGGUAGUAUGACUGGAGGCAAGCCACUCAAUUUCUCUCACCUUCCAAACUCCCAUCUGUAAAUGGAGAUAAAAAUAGUAUCUAUCUCCAACUAUUGCUUUGAGGUUUAGUGAGCACUUUCUAUGAGAACAGUAUGGUGCAGGAUUCUAGUGAUACUCUGCAGAACCUAGCCUUAAGUUUACAAACACAGCUAAGGGAGGGAAAUAAAUGCUGAUACAGUUGCUUUUGGUGGCUGUUGUUAUUGUCUAGUACUUGGAGUGAGAGCAUUAAUGGAGGGUUAAAACAAAACAAAAAACAAGACAGCUUAGUAUUGAUAAAUUCAAUACUCAAGACACCUGAAGUUUCUUUUCUCUCUAAACGUUUAUUUUGAAUUCCUUUAAGGCAAAACAUGAGAAGAAUCACAUAUGCACAAUGGGGAAAGGCAAAGGAGAAAACAUUCAAAAUGAAAAAGCUAAGAUGUAUGCCCCAGGAACUCCAUGGUUAGUUGAAGAUCAUGCCAGAGAAAAGAACGAAUUCCCAUAUCUGGACCCAUGGUGAAGCAUUCCAUAUAAUCAUGGUUUCUUUCUUAAAUUUUAUUGAUGACAAUGUUCUAGAAGUUUUAUAGUAUCUGCCUUCCCAAACAGAAUAAAAUGAAAAGAAUUUCACCUGUAUUGCUCAUUCGGGUCACACAGGCAUCUUCCUCAGGGACAUCAGUGAACUUUUCAUACUACUUGAGGCUCCUUGAUCCUGUACCUUUGAUUCCAACCCCCUCUACUCUGUACCUGUCAAACCUCAAGUUUUCUGCCUCGAAUGUGUGGGGGGUUGGAGAAAAGAGAACUAAGAAAAGAAACCUGUACAGAUUCUAUAGGAUUAUAAAAUUAAGAAAUAAUUUGGUUUUGAUAAAACCCUGGGGGCUUCUGAGUCAUCUGCCUAAAUUUUGAAGCAAAUACUCAGACAUAUUUUAUGGCAGCUCAAGAGACCUUUUUCCUACUCUUCAGGUAUGUUCUCGGUAGCUGAGGUUAUCUGAUACAUUGCCUCCAAAUAAGUGAGGUGGGAUUGCAGUGGCCACCUCACCAGCUCUUGGAAAAACUACAAAGUACUCCCUUCAAUAAAAGGUU